GGAGUUUAAGCAUGCGUGGGAUAGGCAUAAGGCUAUCCUAACUAUAAGAUAAGGCUAGGGACUAAUGAAAGUAUUUAGAAAAUUGGGCAGACUAGAUGGGCCGAAUGUUUCUAUGUUUCUAUGUAACUCUGUUCCGCAGGGUAGCUGUUGACAUUAUAGUUGCGCAGGCACUUUGUUGACUCUAGAGAACCUCGGGACAAUCGCACAUCCCUGUGACGGCGACUUUGCAUUUGGAUGUCAUCCUUAUCAACUUUCGAUGCCAGUUUCUGCGCCUACCAUGGGGACCACGGGUAACGGGGAAUCAGGGUUCCAUUCCAUACAGGGACCCCGAGAAACGACUACCACAUGCAAGGAAGGCAGCAGGCGCGCAAAUGACCAACUCCCGACGCGGGAAGGUAGUGAC